CGCGGCCUAUCAGCUUGUUGGUGGGGUAAUGGCCCACCAAGGCGACGACGGGUAGCCGGCCUGAGAGGGUGACCGGCCACACUGGGACUGAGACACGGCCCAGACUCCUACGGGAGGCAGCAGUGGGGAAUAUUGCACAAUGGGCGAAAGCCUGAUGCAGCGACGCCGCGUGAGGGAUGACGGCCUUCGGGUUGUAAACCUCUUUCAGCUCUGACGAAGCUUUAUUGUGACGGUAGGAGCAGAAGAAGCACCGGCUAACUACGUGCCAGCAGCCGCGGUAAUACGUAGGGUGCGAGCGUUGUCCGGAAUUAUUGGGCGUAAAGAGCUUGUAGGCGGCUCGUCGCGUCUGCUGUGAAAUCCCGGGGCUCAACCUCGGGCUUGCAGUGGGUACGGGCAGGCUAGAGUAUGGUAGGGGAGACUGGAAUUCCUGGUGUAGCGGUGGAAUGCGCAGAUAUCAGGAGGAACACCGAUGGCGAAGGCAGGUCUCUGGGCCAUCACUGACGCUGAGAAGCGAAAGCGUGGGGAGCGAACAGGAUUAGAUACCCUGGUAGUCCACGCCGUAAACGUUGGGCGCUAGGUGUGGGUCCCAUUCCACGGGGUCCGUGCCGCAGCUAACGCAUUAAGCGCCCCGCCUGGGGAGUACGG
rnacentral:rRNA from 1 species